rnacentral:lncRNA from 1 species
CUAAUGUUUUAGUAAAGGUGUCAUUCAUGCUGCUGCUCCUCUGUUUGCUUUACAACUACAUCAUAUUCUAGCCUUGAAAACCUCCUGGACAUUGAUUUCUUUUAUGGAUUUAAAGGAACACUGCUUCAGAGUGACAACAUCGAUGGCAAACCUAACGAAUUACCCCAGGUAUUAUGAUCAACCAGGAAAUUUUGUGGCCAAGUAUCUCUAGAGAGCAUUCAGCAGGAAAUCCAGCCAACCAGGGUGAUUCUGGGAAUCACAGGUUGUCAUUGUCCCUGGCACUAAGAGCAGAAAGGCAAAUAUGGUGCCAGUGACUCAGACCUGCAUUGCUGGUACCUCACUGGGGAGAUGCAGUGCAGGAAGGGACCUGCCAUCCUCAGCCCCUGCUUGGUACCUGUAAGCACUGAGUUUUCUGUCACCCUGCCCUUUUCCCUGUGGGUUGCCUGGUCCUUCUCUCCUAGCAAACACAGAGAAUCAACAUCGUUGAUUCAGCUGGACUUUGAAGCUGUAUUGAAGUUACACUGCUGUGCUACACAUCUGACCUCUGACCCCAGAGCCUGAAUGAUGGCAGGCUUAGUACAAGACCUGGAUUUGGUGGGCAUGUACACUUUUGAAAGAUAUGCAGUACUGCUUUUUUCUAGAGUAAUUUUAUUGUCAUCCCUGCCCCUUUCCUGCUGCUGGAUCUUAGAAAAGCUACACCCUCUCUGUACCUCAUUUCCCCCAUUUCUGGAAAUGGAAUAUUGUCAUUAAUCAAUACGGCCUUGGGGAUCCUGCAGUUCAUUGACCAGGGCUGAAACACUAUUGCUAUUAUUACUCUAAAGCAACUUAUAUUACUGCAUAGCUGAUGCUGCCCUCAGUUGUCCCAAUAAUCUGUUUUGUGAUUUGAAGCAAUUUCCUGAUAUGCAGCUGAGAAAUCAGCUUGAGUUCCAGUCUUAAACCUUUAAUGUCCUUCUAAUUAGGCACUUACUUUUAUGAAGAACUGUUCCUUAGAAGGAAAGUCUUAUAGAACUAGGUUUUUAUUGUAUGGAAUAAAAUGUUGAAAGCAUGUUUUUAAUUAUUCA